GCGGGUGUGCCCGCGCUGGAGAUCACACCCUUAUUUUAAAAGCUGACAUUGGAAGCUAUUAUCUUGCUAUAGUGAAGUAAAUCCUUGCUGAACUUGUAUCCUAUGAGACACUUAUUUUUUUGAUCACUAAAGUGGUACACACCUGUAGUGCCAGCUACUUAGAAGGCAGAAGGUUAAGAUGGGAAGAUAGCAACUCUAAGAGUUUAUGGAAAACACAGUGAGAACCUGACUCCAAGAAAAGG